rnacentral:rRNA from 1 species
AGAGAACGCUGGCGGUAGGACUAACAGAUGCAAGUCGAACGGCAGCACAGUAAGAGCUUGCUCUUACGGGCGGCGAGUGGAGGACGGGUGCGGUCUAAAUCGGAAUCUACUUUUUCGAGGGGGCUAACGUAGGGAAACUUACGCUAAUACCGCACACCACCUACGGUUGAAAGCAGAGGCUCUUCGGACCCUGCGCGAUUGAAUGAGCCGAUGUCGGAUUAGCUAGUUGGCGGGGUAAAGGCCCACCAAGGCGACGAUCCGUAGCUGGUCUGAGAGGAUGAUCAGCCACACUGGAGCUGAGACACGGUCCGGACUCCUACGGGAGGCAGCAGUGGGGAAUGUUGGGCGAUGGGCGCAAGCCUGAUCCAGCCAUACCGCGUGGGUGAAGAAGGCCUUCGGGUUGUAAAGCCCUUUUGUUGGGAAAGAAAAGCAGCAGGUUAAUACCCCGCUGUUCUGACGGUACCCAAAGAAUAAGCACCAGCUAACUUCGUG